AUGUUUUUAGUAUACUUUAGUACAUUUGCCUUCCAAGCAAAAAGUUUCUGUAAAAAGAAAAAACAUA
rnacentral:tRNA from 1 species